UACAGAGGUCCCAAGCGUUGUUCGGAUUCAUUGGGCGUAAAGGGUGCGUAGGCGGUGAGGUAAGUCUGGUGUGAAAUCCCGGAGCUCAACUCCGGAACUGCACUGGAUACUGCCUUACUUGAGCACUGGAGAGGGAACUGGAAUUUACGGUGUAGCAGUGAAAUGCGUAGAUAUCGUAAGGAAGACCAGCGGCGAAGGCGAGUUCCUGGACAGUUGCUGACGCUGAGGCACGAAGGCCAGGGGAGCAAACGGG
rnacentral:rRNA from 1 species